rnacentral:lncRNA from 1 species
GGACACAUGCUCACACACACAAGCAUGUGGACACAUACUCCUGGCUCUGUACCCAGCGCUUCCUGUACACAUGUGCACACAAUUCUAAGUCCUAGGCAGGAUGGACAGAGGAGGUCAGAUUCAUGCCAUCUGGAUACUGUCCCCAGGCACUAAGGAGGCCUAAUCCAAGAGGAUCAGAAUCCUACCCAAUCCACUCUCCCCAAGUGCAAACCAAGGAGCCAGUGAAACUCUAAUCUGUACCCUAAUGGGAUUUGAUCAACGUCGCUGUGCCACCAUGAGUGGGGCUGCCACAGAGCCCUCGAUUUGAGCUUGUCUGACCCCGUGGUGAGGGAGUAGGGCAGUGGGCCCAGUACAGUGCGGGCGCCCCCUCAAAGGAAAGCAUUCUUCAUUGGUAAUGAACAUUAUGUCUGCAGAAACUAAUGGCCCAACCUCCUAUUCAGUUUAUGUAAAAUAAAACAGGCCAUAUGCUGCUGCUUUCAGAGUUUGGGUGUUUAAAUUAAAUGUUGUUCAAUGAAUAUUCAAGCCCAUUUGCUCCAAAGUUGUGCUCAAUGUGGUGGUGGCUCUCAUCCCCCUCCUUCCUCGCAGCCCCUCCCUGCUCCAGUACCCAGGG